AUGUAUGCCGUAUUCUACAAUGCACUAAGAAAUUCAUCUAGCAUAGUCAACUCACUUAUUUUACCACUCUUUAGUUUGCAUGCUGCUCGACAAACACAUGCUAACUGUGGUUCCUCAGUAAUUAGAAACAUGAAAAAAUUAGGGUGCAACCAUAAUCUAAUUGAAAUCUCUUAUUUUAUACUGAUGAGUAAUUUCUGCAAAAUGGAAGUGUUCAAUUUAUUUUAUUCCGUUCAUCAAUUUUUGGCCUUGAAUACCCUCAGGUACACAAAUACUGCGCAGCAACGAAAACACGUUGAUAUAGCUUCAAACUGA
rnacentral:rRNA from 1 species